UUUAGAUGUAAAAAAAAAUAAUGCAAUGAAAAUACUGUAGGCUAUUUGGUUUUCAUAAACUUAAAGUAGUCAGAGACGUGGCAUGUUGUUGGCGCUGCUAUGCAUUCUGGGUAAAUGAGGUAUGCUAGGUCUGUUCGCGCUGUUUUCGUCCAGCCAAAAGAGCAGUAGGUAACGUCUUAAGAUUUCUCAAUUUGAACCGUAGCGCUCUGAAACUGUAGAAAACACAAGGAGUAAUGAAGAUGAGGAGGACCAGACGGAGGAAGAGUUGCCUGAAGAAGUUGCUGUUUGUGCUGCUGCUGCAAGCUUCAUAAACGAAACAAUGAAUGACGCCUGCCUCUGGUACCACAACUAAUGGGAGUGUGAAGUUUGGCAGUGACCGUAAUUGGACGGGGACCACGAGGGGACACUUCUGAUGCGGCAGACAAAGACGAGGGAAGCACGGCUGAGCAGCGCCGUCUGUGGGAGCUCUUAUCUAAGGAAGAAUCAAUGUGUGCUUCUGGCCCCACUGAGGCCUCAGUGAGGCUACAUUAGCAGAACUAAUUAAAGCUCAUUUUAAAAGU